UACGUAGGGUGCGAGCGUUAAUCGGAAUUACUGGGCGUAAAGCGUGCGCAGGCGGUUCGUUAAGUCUGAUGUGAAAGCCCCGGGCUCAACCUGGGAAUGGCAUUGGAAACUAGCGGGCUCGAGUGUGGCAGAGGGGGGUGGAAUUCCACGUGUAGCAGUGAAAUGCGUAGAUAUAGGAAGGAAUACCAGUGGCGAAGGCGGCCUCCUGGAUCGAUACUGACGCUGAGACGCGAAAGCGUGGGGAGCGAACAGG
rnacentral:rRNA from 1 species